rnacentral:rRNA from 1 species
AUCGACCACAGUGGGCCUGAAUAAAGCCCAUGACGAUUGUCACAGCAGUGAGGAAUAUUGGUCAAUAGCCUAACGGCUGAACCAGCAACUUGGAGGAAUGUAUAGCAAUAGCUACUUGCAUCUUCGUAUACAUGAUGCAAGAUCGACUCUGUCGAAUAAAAUUCUAGGUAGAAUUAUGAUAAUGACAUUGUCUGCCUAUGUGUCUUGACCAAAUUACGUGCCAGCAGUCGCGGUAAUACGUAGAAGACUAGUGUUAUUCAUGUUUAAUCGGUUUAAAGGGUACCUAGACGGUAAAUCAAGCCUACAAAUAAAAGAAAUGAAGGGACUAAUUUGCUAGAGUUACUUAUGAGGGGGUAUUAAAGUACUGCUGGUGUAGAGAUGAAAUUCUGUCAUACCUCUUUUCAAUAGAAAAAUAAUGGCACAGGUAUAGGCGAAAGCAUCCCCUUAUGUGAUAACUGACGUUGAGGGACGAAGGCUUUGUGUAGCGAACAGGAUUAGAUACCCCAGUAGUCAAAGCAGAAAAUGAUGAAUGUCAUAGAUUAGAUAUAUAAGUUUAUUCUAUAAAUGAAAGUGUAAGCAUUCCACCUCAAGAGUAAUUUGGCAACAUUGGAACUGAAAUCAUUAGACCGUUUCUGAAACCAGUAGUGAAGUAUGUUGUUUAAUUUGAUGAUCCGCAAAAAACCUUACCACAAUUUGAAUAUUUAUAUCUUUUAUUGUUUUUUUUUAUUUUUCUUCUUAUGACUUUUAUCCAUGAUUUUCUACUCAGUGAAGAAAAGGGAAGAAUACAAGAAAUAAGAAGAAAAAUAAAAAAAAAUAAUAAGAUAUAUUUACA